rnacentral:rRNA from 1 species
ACACCAGACUCCUACGGGAGGCAGCAGUGGGGAAUAUUGCACAAUGGGGGAAACCCUGAUGCAGCGACGCCGCGUGAGUGAAGAAGUAUUUCGGUAUGUAAAGCUCUAUCAGCAGGGAAGAAAAUGACGGUACCUGACCAAGAAGCCCCGGCUAACUACGUGCCAGCAGCCGCGGUAAUACGUAGGGGGCAAGCGUUAUCCGGAUUUACUGGGUGUAAAGGGGGCGUAGACGGCAGGGCAAGUCUGGAGUGAAAGCCCGUGGCUUAACCACGGGACUGCUCUGGAAACUGUGCAGCUAGAGUGCAGGAGAGGCAGGCGGAAUUCCUAGUGUAGCGGUGAAAUGCGUAGAUAUUAGGAGGAACACCGGUGGCGAAGGCGGCCUGCUGGACUGUAACUGACGUUGAGGCUCGAAAGCGUGGGGAGCAAACAGGAUUAGAUACCCUGGUAC